CACUGGAAAGAAGAGACUAGCACAUGAAAUAAUUAAAGCACAAUUACAACUGAAAUGCUGUAGGGUUAGUGGUAGUUCAGGGAGGAAGGACCCAGUCACCGCGGGCUGAUGUCCUUAUGAAAGCUUUCACAAGGGGUUAGGAGCGGAGCCUUUGAAAGCUCCAGUUGAACUGCACAAAUAUUUUCUGGGAGGGACAGUGCUUUAAGUGUUCAUUACUUUUUAAUGUCUUAUCUAUAAAUUAUUGAUUAGGGCUGCUGAACGCUGAGUUGUGCUUGAGAGGAAUCGCUGUGGUGGUCAGACCUGUGCUACAGAGACUUGAGCACAAGAUCUCAGCUAGCUGCAGAUGCCUCCCUGUGUUCCUGGAUGGUUACAGACACAGAUGACAUUUACUGUGGGCUUCGUAUGUAUCAGACAUGGCACUACGGGCUUGUGUCAGCAAUGUCAAUGUAAACAGAAGCCAGAAAAUUUCUUAAAACAUUUUUUGAUGAGUUCCCCCCCCACACAC